rnacentral:tRNA from 1 species
GCCGGAAUAGCUCAGUUGGUAGAGCANAGGACUGAAAAUCCUCGUGUCACAGU